CGUGUAGGCGGUUGGUCAAGUCGGGUGUGAAAGCCCGAGGCUCAGCCUCGGAAGUGCAUCCGAAACUAGCCAGCUAGAGCGCGAUAGAGGAGGGUGGAAUUCCUGGUGUAGCGGUGAAAUGCGUAGAUAUCAGGAGGAACACCGGCGGCGAAGGCGGCCCUCUGGAUCGUUGCUGACGCUGAGACGCGAAAGCGUGGGGAGCAAACAGGAUUAGAUACCCUGGUAGUCCACGCCUUAAACGAUGGGUACUAGGUGUUCGGGGUGUUGACCCCCUGAGUGCCGCAGUUAACGCAUUAAGUACCCCGCCUGGGGACUACGGCCGACAAGGUUAAA
rnacentral:rRNA from 1 species